rnacentral:rRNA from 1 species
CAAAGGAGAAAUCCGCUGAGAGAUGGGCUCGCGUCCAAUUAGCUGGUUGGCGGGGUAAAGGCCCACCAAGGCGACGAUUGGUAGCCGGACUGAGAGGUUGAACGGCCACAUUGGGACUGAGACACGGCCCAGACUCCUACGGGAGGCAGCAGUGGGGAAUAUUGCACAAUGGGGGGAACCCUGAUGCAGCGACGCCGCGUGAGGGAAGAAGGUUUUCGGAUUGUAAACCUCUGUCCUCUGUGACGAUAAUGACGGUAGCAGAGGAGGAAGCCACGGCUAACUACGUGCCAGCAGCCGCGGUAAUACGUAGGUGGCGAGCGUUAUCCGGAAUUACUGGGUGUAAAGGGAGCGUAGGCGGGGGAACAAGUUGAAUGUUUAAGAUAUGGGCUCAACUCAUAUAAGCGUUCAAAACUGUUUUUCUUGAGUGAAGUAGAGGUAAGCGGAAUUCCUAGUGUAGCGGUGGAAUGCGUAAAUAUUAGGAGGAACACCAGUGGCGAAGGCGGCUUACUGGGCUUUAACUGACGCUGAGGCUCGAAAGCGUGGGUAGCAAACAGGAUUAGAUACCCUGGUAGUCCACGCUGUAAACGAUGAUUACUAGGUGUGGGGGGACUGAACCCUUCC